rnacentral:lncRNA from 1 species
UGUAAAACACUAUGAUUAAAAGCAACUUAGUGGAGGAAAGGGUUUAUUUCAUCUUCUACUUCCAGGUCACAGUUUGUCAUUAACAGAGAACUCAAGGCAGGAACCCGAAGACAGGACUGCAUGCUAUUCCACAUGGCAUCGCCUCUCCACAAGAAACUGGCUCACAGCGAAGGGAGUACCGGAGAAACCAUGGACGACGCUGCUUGCUGGUUCACUCAUGGGCUUGUGCUUAGCUAGCUUUCUCAUACAGCCCAGAGAUGGAGCUGCCCAUAGUGAGCUGGACUCUCCCACAUCAGAGAACAAUCAAGAUGCUCUCCCCCCACCAAUGCCCCCUGGCCAAUCGGAUCUAAGCAUCAGAUCUAAGCCUCUGUGGAUGACUGUUCCAGGUUUGCAUGUCAGUGAGGCACUGACAUGCAAGAAAAUGCACAUACUUGAGGUCCCUGCGGUCCUGUCCUGUACGUGUCUGUUGACGGCCCCAGGGCUCAGGAUGGAUUCUGAACAUCCAGUGACCAUUUCUAUGAACUCUUACUAGGCUUCCCUUUAGCCCCAGCAGGCUGGAUCCCCAGAGCCCACCUAGCACAAUCAUGACCUUCUGCACUGGUUCCAUCGUGGAAAGUCACACCUCCACCUGUGGUGGGUCAAGAGAAGUCACCAACCACAUCAUUUUGCUGCCAUCAGAUGUCACCAGGUUCCCUAUCUCUGGCCUAUUUUACAGUCCAGUGAUUAAGGCUGUAAACAUGACUGCUUGUCUUUCUAUGGUAAAUUCAAUUCAGUCAGGUUGAGAAUACAAGUUAAACUGGUAAGAGUUGAACUAUAGCUUUCCCUCUACUGUUGAAUCACACUGAAGUUGCCUGAACUGAAUGAACAACACUGCCAUAGACUGUUGACAUCCCAACAGAGUACAGAGGACCAGGAGUCUGCUGGUUAUUUUUUUAGCUGCCACAUGUACCUAAUAUUAUAGACUAUAAACAAAACCUUGACUUAAAAGUAGCCACCAAAUAGCUCAGUAACACAUCACUCUGUUUGUUUGCCAAACCUUUGUUUUUCUUGUUUUACUUCCUAGCCACAAGGUGAGUUUUCUUCCACUUCAUGGUCACACCAAAAUGUAUUCUUACCAUAGGUCGAAGCCAAAGGAGUGAUUGAGCAUAGAUCAAAAGCCCCCAAACAAAUAGGCUAUGGAAAGGUUACAAUUAUGGGCAAUAAAGCUUAGCGUGUCAAAGUUCA